GAGGGGCCUUGGGGCAGCUGGCAGUGUGCCCGCUCUGGGGUUCAACCAGGUACUGGCUUUAUAAUUCAUCCUAUGCUCUUUUCUAUUGUGUUAUGGACCAUGAAUUUACAGCAAAACAAUAAAACGUUCUCCAGGGGGCUCUCAGGAGACAUUCUAAGCAAGAAUGAGACGGCAGCACCUCCGUUCGCUCACAACCUGCAGUGCACCUGAGUCUGCACUGAACACAGGGGUGGUGCAGAAAGAGGCACGAAUGUCUUGAGAAGCUGGGUCAGCUCGUUCUGAGUCAGGAUGCGACUGGACAUCCCCACAAAGACAGAAUCUGCGAGAGCGACCGCCCGCCGGCAGAGAAGUGUGUUGUAAAUGCUACGCUAUAAACACAGCAAUGCGCUGUGAUGGCUCCUGGUCAGAGACGUCUGCUGGGUCAGCAAAGCGAAGGCUGCUGCCUGCAGGUGCCAGAGCAAAGGGUGUGCCAGGAGCGAGGAGGGCGAGUGUGGAAGAAAGUGAGAGUGUGGCAGAGGACACCACAAAGCACGGGGGCCGGAGGGUCGGGGCCAAGAGCAGGGAGCGAGGAGAGGCAUCCGGAAAAGCAUGGCCAGGGCAAGGUCAACAUGGGGCCAGAGAGACCCCUUCUCCUCUGACCCUGCGUCCCCUGCAGCACGAAGGCCUCGGGCUCCCGGUGCAGCCCCUGGCUUGGCACUCAAGGUCUCCCCACGAUGACGUGGUCCCUGCCCACCCCUCACUCCUCCUUCCCAGCGACGCUGGACGCCCCUUUCCCUCAGCAGGUUAUUGCUUUUGCACUGGCUGUCCCCACUGCCUGGGGUGCCCCUCCCUCCGCACUCCCAUCAGACACCACCUACCCUGUGAGUCUCUGGCCACCCUAGGCCAGUUCUCUCACCCACAGUCCUGAUGACGUGCAGACGCUGUGCAGACCUCAACACGAAAGCCUGGCGACACAGUCGGAGGUGAACGGUGGCCUUCAACUUGGAAAGGAAGGUAUCUGGGUGCUUUUUGCCACUCACAGCUGCUCUAACCUACGAAGGGCUCAUGUCUCCAGCUGGGGUGGGGCCCCAGGGAGCACCCUCUAAGAACACGACCCAUAGCACCUACCACACUGUGCUGGGACUACCCCUCAGCAGACACAGAGCAGAGGGUUUGCCGCCUGGGUCUGCCACUGGGUUAGCUGUGAGCCUCAGUUUCCUCACCUGUUAAAUGGGGACGGGAGUCCCUACCUUCACAGGAGGCUGCGAGGUUGAAGUGAGUAUGCAAAGUGCUCGGACGAGUGGGCAGCACUCGGCAGCGCUGCGUGUCGGCAGCUACCUGCCUGCCUCCCUCGGGGGCCAGCAUCUGGGAUGGGCUGGGGACCCUGUGUGCUGCCGGCCCGGCACAGGAGCAGCUCAGGAUGUCUGGUGACUGCAGGCACCCCCACUGAUCACUCAACGACAAGAACUACUUUGGGGUACGGGGAGGGGGCAUCUAGCCAAAUCUGACAUCAGCCUGCUAAUGGCCUUUGUCCAAACCCACAUGAGGCCACGUGGAAUGGAUGUGUCCAUCCCAGGCUGGGUCCAGCCAUAUUGUGGUCGAUGAUUAUUUUCCAAAGACGGCCACACCCUCUGACACUGACACAACCGGUGCCUACGGUGGACCGGGUGGCACAGAAGUGAUGCUUCGUGACAUCUGACACUGGGAUCAGAAGCCUCUUUCCUCUGUUCUUUCCCGAGACGCCCGCCCUUGAGCCCAGUCACCGUGCGGGAAGCCCAGGCUGACCCCCAUGUGGGAGGAACCGAGGGCCCAGCAGACACCAGCACCCACUGCCAGACACACGAGUGAGUCAGAUUCCAGAUGAAGCCGCCCCGGCCAAGACCCCGCUACCACGGGCAGGGGCCCACCAUGCCCACGUGCGUCCCGAUGCCUGCCCGGCAGUCAGCAGAAGCAGACGGUUGUCUUACACGGGGCUGUUUGGGAUCGUUGCCUACACAGCCAUGAUGCCACUAAGAUGAGAAUGAAUCGGUGGAAAAGUACAAGCCUUCAAGGACAAGGAGAUGGCACCGGAGGCAGCCGACAGCAAUGUUACAAAAGCUCUGAGAUGCAGCAUGGUCAGCGUGGUCCCUGACCGGGAGGGCCCAGGACUGCGGGGGAAGGUGCCGAUGGAAAACGUAGCUGCAAGUCUGCGCGCGGCCUUUACUUUCCUGGCCGGUGGGGACAGCUCCUUCCUCAGAGAACUCAGCUCAGCCGAGGACAGCAACGAGGACACUUGCAGAAAACAGAUGAGGUCUGAAUGCGAAGGGCGAGUUGUCCGGGUCCCUUCCCCCAACUGCACCCUUAACUCAGCGUGCCCAGCUUUCACCACCCAGAGAACAUUAUUAUCUGGGGAAACAGGCCCAGAAUAAAAAAAAACUUCAUCGAGUGCCUGUCCCCACCACUGCGUAAAAACAGCACAGGAAAGCCGUGUCCUGUCACCCAACUGGGAGGCCGGCAGUGUAAGCCCCAUUCUUCAAUACAAAGAAUAGCCAAGGACACCAGACACUUGAGGAGCGCUUCCAACACAAAGGUCAAAGGCCAAGACAAACAAACAGGGAAGUCAGGAGACCGAGAUAAUGCAGGAAACAGAAGAAAACUGCAAUUAGCGUCCGGAACGGGAGAUAUUCUCUCCCACACCAAGCACAAGGGACUAUAAAAUAGAACAGGAAAGAGCGCCUGACGCUUUACAACACGAUAAAGAAAACAAAACCUUCCGUAGAAAAGCUCAAAGGUAAAUAUUUAAAAUAAAAUUUAAAAGCUCCUGGGAAAUAGAACAAAAGAAACCAUAAAGAAAACUUAAAGGUCAAUCCAGAAGUGCAACAUCCUACCAACAGGAAUUCUGGAAAGCAGGAAUAAACUAAGGGGGGCGCGGGGGGGGGGUGCGGCGUAGCAAAGGAACAUGCAAGAACAUUUCUCGGCACUCAAGACAUGGGCUUCCACAUGAAGGGCCACCGGGCACCCCGCACAGUGAAUAUCCCGCCGCCUCUGAGAUUUCAGAACACUGGGGGCAAAGACCAUAAGCAAAGGGGAAAGCAGGUCACACACAGACAUUAAGAGUCAGAACCCAGCCCUGGCCUGUGGUUCCGUUAUUUAGGGUGUCAUGCCACGAUGCCAAGGUUGUGGGUUCGAUCCCUGGUCAGAGCACAUAGAACAAUUAACCAGUGAAUGCAUAAAUAAAUGAAACAACAAAAUGACGUUUCUCUCCCCUCUCUCUCUCUCUCUCUCUCUCUCUCAGUCCAUUUUUUUAAAAAAGAAUCAGGAUCCAGCAGACUUUCCGAAAACAAUGCUGGAAGCUAAAAGACUGAAAAACCUGCCUUCAGAAUUCAGAGGGAGAGUAAUUUCCAUCUUAGAAUUGUACUCCCAUUGACAACUAACCAAACAGAACAAUAUAAUAUAUAUUUGUAGACAAUUUUCAGAUUUCAAAAAACAGAACCCCAUGCACCCUUUUCUCAGGAAGCUCCUGGGAGCCGAGCUCUAACCAGGAGAGGGCGGAGAGGGCGAAUCACCAACAAGGGAAAAUGGCCCCAGGGGGCAGGUGGUCAGCACAGGAGCGGGGGGCAGGGAAGACCCAGGGCAGCUGCCGAGCAGGAGGAGGCCAGGCCCAGCCCAGAGCAGGAGGCAGGGCAUCGGGAGGAACAGCACCGAGGAAAACCCAGAGCGAAGAGACAUGCGCCUCCCCUUAGAGAAGGCAUGCUUCUAAUUCAGUGAAGCGUUCGGGAACAAAGUGAUGACAGAUACAUAGAAAACAGAGUAAACCAAACAGCAAGACGAGUGGCAGCAGAGGAAAAGCACAAGGAAAUGUCAUCUCGAGGCACCUGCAGGCUCAGCUUUGAACAAUGUUUACAGACAUGGAGUAACGCACACACGAAAUGCGGACUUAGAAACGCUUGUCACCUUAAAAAGAUGAAGGAGCGAAAGCGUGUGGGUGUGCACAGCCGGAGGUGAGUACCUAAGUCACAAGCCUCCCAGAGGAAGAAGCCUGCUACUAAACACUACAUGAAACUGAAAUCCAGAAACAACAGUCUACGCACGUUUUUAGGUUAUUCAAGGGAAAAAAAGUUUAAGGAGUUGAAAGUGGCCCUGGCCGGGUAGCUCCAUUGGUUAGAUGAUCAUCCUGAUUUUAACAAAAAUAAUAAAAAUAAAAAAAGAGUUGCAAGUGCAGUGAACUUGGGAGUCAGAGGAGUUGGGGCAGCUUGUGUCAUCCAUAUGCAUGUAUGACUUUAAUAAAAAUAAAAUGUC